CUGACAUAUCACAGCAUUCGAAGUCCCGAUGACCUCACCACCUCCACACUGAAACCGCUUUUGAUUUUCAAAGAGCCUUUCUUCUUUUUUCUUCCCCUCCCCUCUAUGGGAUGCAGAAGGAUGAAUUACAAAACAAAUCUUCUGGCUCCCUCUUCAAGAUGGAGAGAAUCAUUGACUCCUGUUAUGAAAGAGAUGCUCAGACGGGGUGUGGCCCCCAUGCCAGGCACCAAUGCUCACUGCAGUGGGAGCCAAAGCCCACCGGAUCUGCUGAAGGCUGUGGAGCAAAGAAUAACCAGACUCGCCCAGAAACGGGGCUCUAGAAAGCAGACCUACCAACUAGCACGGACUAGAGGAGAUCGCCAAGGGGAGGAGUACAACGGACCAGGAAUAGGAACUGAGCAUGCGCCAAGGAUGUGACGUCUGGGAGAAGGGAAGGAGCCUGCAGAGGUGGGCUGGGAAAAGACGCCAUGACGACUGAAAGGAAGUGGGAAGUGGAACUCUUGCACUUUCUUGCUCUUCCUUUUCUCAUGCCCUCUUUGUCCCUGUCCCUUCCUUCCCCAUCUCCCACUCCUUCCCUCCAUGUGCCCAUGGUCAGCCUCCUUUCCUCUCCUCUUCUCUCAUAAACCUCUUCACAUUGGAAAAAGAAAGUGGGAAGUGAAAUGUCUGGGGAGGGAGACAAAGAAAGUCUAUCAAGGACCAGGCUGACUCUGUCUCAAUUUCUAUUACUGUGAUAAACACCGUGACUAAAACAUUUACAGAAGUAAGGGUUUGCUUCCCUACGGUUCCAGACUGUUAGAAUCCACCGUGACAGGGAAGCAUGGCAGCGCCGCAGAGAAGUUGAGGGGAGCAGAAGCUGAGAGCUUGCAUAUUGAGGCAGAGAGACACAAUGGCACUGUUACCAGUCUUUUGAAACCUCAAAGCCCACUCCCCAUUCAACCCCACCCCCUCCCUGCCCCAUCUCCACCCCCUACCGCACCCCCACUCCCUCCAACUCCAAGGCCACCUCCGAGUCCUUCCCAAACAAUUCCACCAAUGGAGUCCAAGUAUUCAAACAUAGGAGACUAUGGGGUUCAUUUUCAUUCAAAUACCACAAUGACUGAUGUGCCAAGUCAGGAGAGCUCAGGAACUGAUGAAGGGUGCUUAGUGCAAGCACUGUUGGUACCCAAGGAAGAGAUGCUUGAGGUGGGCAAGGAAGGGGAGAGCUCGGUUGCAGUGGAUUGAAGAGAGUAACUAUAGCUGAUCUAUCAUCCAUCCAUCUGUCUAUUUACCACCCAUCAAUCAUCUAUUUACCAACCAUCCAUUUAUCAUCUAUUGCCUACAUACUAUUAUCUAUAUACUAUCAUCUCUCUACCUACUAUCUGUCAAUUAUCUAUUUCUCUACCAUCCAUCCAUCAAUAUCUAUCUAUAGAUUUGCCUAUCUAUAGAUUAGCUACACACUACCUAUUAUCUAUUUACCUAUUAUUUAUCUACCAUCUAUUUAGUAUCUAUCAUCUAAUACUACCUAUCUAUAAAUCAUCUAUUUCUCUAUGAACCAUCUGUAUCAUAUACAUAAUAUCUAUCUACCCAUCCAUCCAUCCAUCCAUCCAUCCAUCCAUGCAUCCAUGCAUCCAUCCAUCCAUGCAUCCAUGCAUGCAUGCAUCCAUCCAUCCACCUACCCACCUAUCUAAUUUAUUAGUGAUUCGGUUACUUAUUUGAGAUAUGGCUUCAUCGUGCAGCCCAGCCUAGCUCAAAACUCAGUAUACAGCCCCCCCCCACCCCCACAAGUCUUAAAACCUCAGUCCUCAGCCUCUGCUUCCCAGGUGCUCCAAUUACCAGCACGCACCACCGGCUCUCAGAGCAGUUCUGCUGCCCGUUGGAUGACUUGGUUUGAAUGCUGUUGUUCCCUCUCUGAAUUCCUGGGCUGGAAAUUUAGCCCCCGAAUUCAUACGUUAAUGGUGUUUGGAGGUGCAGCCUUUGGGAGCUAAUUAGGAUCGGAGGAGGUAAUGAGGGUAGAGGCCUGCGAUGGGGGAGGGGGCUGGCUGUACCGAUGAGCCGGAGAUGCACUUGCUCUGUCCUGUGUGGUGCUUUUGCCACUUGUGAUGCAGGAAGAAGACCGUCCUGACGCGGAGUGAGACUAUAGUCUCCAUAAUUUAUCCAGCCUCAGAUGCUCUAACGACAACAGAAUCGGUGGGGUAU